rnacentral:rRNA from 1 species
AUGAAGGCAGCAUUAAAAACUAUCCUCCCACAAACUCUGCAUAAGCUGUGUCGGUGGCAUAUUAUGAAGAAGUACAAAGACCACCUUGCCUUGCUGUAUAAGGCACACGAGAAACUCAAGGAUGAACUCAAUGUGGUGCUGAACCACCCACUAAUGCCGUCAGAAUUUGAACAAGCAUGGAAGAACCUCAUUCAGAGGUACAACUUGCAAGACAACAAAGUUAUGAAUUCGCUGUGGGAUGACAGGCACGAGUGGAUCUCGGCUUACUACAAGGAAAUAUUCUGUGCAUGUAUCACUUCCACACAGAGAAGCGAGAGCAUGAACCGCAUACUAAAGAAAAAUUUUGUCAGGGAGAAGCAUGAUCUCCAUCUGUUUGCUCAGCAGGUGGAUAAGUGCAUUCAGACCAGGAAGGCCAUCGAGCACGCAGAGAUAGUAGCAAAUGAGUCAGAGGUAAAAACAACAACAAAGUUUGGGUUCGAAGUUCAGCUAUCAAAAGUGUAUACAAGGGUAGUGUUUGCAGAUUUCAAAGAAGCACUCUACUGUAGCACUGCAUUCAGAGCAGAACGGUGCCCUGAGAACCCAACAAAGUAUCUCGUACACCACUACAAUAGAUCAGAUGCAUUUGACCGGGCAAGGAAUAAUUUCCAAGUGGUCCACGAUGAAGAGAAAGGUGUCUACGAAUGUGAGUGCAAACUCUGGACACACACAGGGCUCUUUUGCGUCCAUGUGUUAUGCAUGCUUUCUCAUUUGAGAGUACUCAAGAUUCCUGAGGUGUACAUCAUGAAAAGAUACACCCGUAACGCAAGAUCAGAUGCAACGUUUGACAGAAGAGACUACGAACAAACAACACCAAAUGGAACCUCACUUUUUUAUCGUAGAAAAUUGUUGACAGAAACAACAGUGGACCUUGCAAAAAGAGCGACAAGGUCCGACGCUGGGUGCCACAGGGCACUGAUCGAGGAAGUUGACGUGCUCAACGAAGAAGAAGAAGAAGCAGCAAAACUAAAGCAAGCAGAGAAAUCCCAGCAUGACAAUAAUGCCGAGCAAGUAGAAAGUAUUGAACACAACGGAACUGGUGCUAUCUCAAUUCUUCCACCUCCUGUUUCAAACACAAGAGGGAGGAAGAAAGGGGGCGACGCAACCCAGAAAAAAGUGUCAUGCAAGGAAAAAAAUGAUGAAAAAAACAGUAAGCCACAGCCUGAGCUGGAUAGUGAUGGUCAACCACUUGGAGUAAGAAUGUGCAGAACAUGUAAUGAAAACAGCAGCCACAAUUCCAGGACAUGCACAAAAAUAGAUGAAUAA